GACGUAGGGCGCGAGCGUUGUCCGGAUUUAUUGGGCGUAAAGGGUGCGUAGGCGGUUUGGUAAGUCUUAUGUGAAAUCUACAGGCUCAACUUGUAGUCUGCAUGAGAAACUGCCGGGCUUGAGUAUGGGAGAGGUGAGUGGAAUUCCUGGUGUAGCGGUGAAAUGCGUAGAUAUCAGGAGGAACACCUGUGGCGAAGGCGGCACUCUGGGACGGUACUGACGCUGAGACGCGAAAGCGUGGGAGCGAACAGG
rnacentral:rRNA from 1 species